AUUGAACGCUGGCGGCAGGCCUAACACAUGCAAGUCGAGCGGAGCGGCGGACGGGGGAGGAAUGCCUAGGAAUCUGCCUGGUAGUGGGGGAUCACGUCAGGUACUGGGCGCUAAUACCGCAUACUCUCAGAAGAGCAUAGGUCGGAUUAGCUAGUUGGUGGGGUAAAGGCCUACCAAGGCGACGAUCCGUAACUGGUCUGAGUGGAUGAUCAGUUACACUGGAACUGAGACACGGUCCAGACUCCUACGGGAGGCAGCAGGUGGGAAGAUUGGACAAUGGGCGAAAGCCUGAUACAGCCAUGCCGGGUGUGUGAAGAAGGUCUUCGGAUUGUAAAGCACUUUAAGUUUGGAGGCGUUGCCAACAUAAUAAGCACCGGCUAACUUCGUGCCAGCCGCCGCGGUAAUAC
rnacentral:rRNA from 1 species